rnacentral:rRNA from 2 species
AAACGCUUGGCUGGCAUGCCUAAUACAUGCAAGUCGAACGAACCAUCCUGAUGAUUGAAGCUUGCUUCAUGAUUCAGAUCUUGGUGAGUGGCGGACGGGUGAGUAACACGUGGGUAACCUGCCCAGAAGUGGGGGAUAACAUUUGGAAACAAGUGCUAAUACCGCAUAACAACUUAGAUCACAUGAUCUUUGUUUAAAAGAUGGUUUUGCUAUCUCUUCUGGAUGGACCCGCGGCGUAUUAGCUAGUUGGUGAGGUAAUAGCUCACCAAGGCGAUGAUACGUAGCCGACCUGAGAGGGUAAUCGGCCACAUUGGGACUGAGACACGGCCCAAACUCCUACGGGAGGCAGCAGUAGGGAAUCUUCCACAAUGGACGAAAGUCUGAUGGAGCAAUGCCGCGUGAGUGAAGAAGGUUUUCGGAUCGUAAAACUCUGUUGUUGAAGAAGAAUAUAUGUGAGAGUAACUGUUCACGUACUGACGGUAUUCAACCAGAAAGCCACGGCUAACUACGUGCCAGCAGCCGCGGUAAUACGUAGGUGGCAAGCGUUGUCCGGAUUUAUUGGGCGUAAAGAGAAUGUAGGCGGUUUAUUAAGUUUGAAGUGAAAGCCCUCGGCUCAACCGAGGAAGUGCUUCGAAAACUGGUAAACUUGAGUGCAGAAGAGGAAAGUGGAACUCCAUGUGUAGCGGUGGAAUGCGUAGAUAUAUGGAAGAACACCAGUGGCGAAGGCGGCUUUCUGGUCUGUAACUGACGCUGAGAUUCGAAAGCAUGGGUAGCAAACAGGAUUAGAUACCCUGGUAGUCCAUGCCGUAAACGAUGAGUGCUAAGUGUUGGAGGGUUUCCGCCCUUCAGUGCUGCAGCUAACGCAUUAAGCACUCCGCCUGGGGAGUACGAUCGCAAGAUUGAAACUCAAAGGAAUUGACGGGGGCCCGCACAAGCGGUGGAGCAUGUGGUUUAAUUCGAAGCAACGCGAAGAACCUUACCAGGUCUUGACAUACCAUGAAAAGCUUAGAGAUAAGUCUUUCCCUUCGGGGACAUGGAUACAGGUGGUGCAUGGUUGUCGUCAGCUCGUGUCGUGAGAUGUUGGGUUAAGUCCCGCAACGAGCGCAACCCUUAUUAUCAGUUGCCAGCAUUCAGUUGGGCACUCUGGUGAGACUGCCGGUGAUAAACCGGAGGAAGGUGGGGACGACGUCAAAUCAUCAUGCCCCUUAUGACCUGGGCUACACACGUGCUACAAUGGUCGGUACAACGUGCUGCGAACUCGCGAGGGCAAGCAAAUCACUUAAAACCGAUCUCAGUUCGGAUUGUAGGCUGCAACUCGCCUACAUGAAGCUGGAAUCGCUAGUAAUCGCGGAUCAGCAUGCCGCGGUGAAUACGUUCCCGGGCCUUGUACACACCGCCCGUCACACCAUGAGAGUUUGUAACACCCAAAGUCGGUGGGGUAACCCUUCGGGGAACUAGCCGCCUAAGGUGGGACACAAUGCA